rnacentral:rRNA from 1 species
UCAUACGGAAGAUCCAAGCGUUAUCCGGAAUUACUGGGCGUAAAGAGUUGCGUAGGUGGCAAAGUAAGCGAAGCAUGAAAUCUUGUGGCUCAACCACAAGCCUAUGCUUUGAACUACUUAGCUUGAGCAUAAGAGAGGUAGCUGGAAUUCCUAGUGUAGGAGUGAAAUCCGUAGAUAUUAGGAGGAACACCGAUGGCGUAGGCAGGCUACUGGCUUAUUGCUGACACUAAGGCACGAAAGCGUGGGGAGCGAACGGGAUUAGAUACCCCGGUAGUCCACGCCGUAAACUAUGGACGCUAGCUGUUAGAAGUAUCGACCCUUCUAGUAGCGAAGCUAACGCGUUAAGCGUCCCGCCUGGGGAGUACGGUCGCAAGAUUA